UAGGGAAUCUUCCGCAAUGGACGCAAGUCUGACGGAGCAACGCCGCGUGAGUGAAGAAGGAUUUCGGUUCGUAAAACUCUGUUGUUAGAGAAGAACAGCGCAUAGAGUAACUGUUAUGCGUGUGACGGUAUCUAACCAGAAAGCCACGGCUAACUACGUGCCAGCAGCCGCGGUAAUACGUAGGUGGCAAGCGUUGUCCGGAUUUAUUGGGCGUAAAGCGAGCGCAGGCGGUCAAUUAAGUCUGAUGUGAAAGCCCCCGGCUCAACCGGGGAGGGUCAUUGGAAACUGGUUGACUUGAGUGCAGGAGAGGGGAGUGGAAUUCCAUGGGGAGCGGUGAAAUGCGUAGAUAUAUGAAGGAAAACGAGUGGCGAAGGCGACUCUCUGGUCUGUAACUGACGCGGAGGCUCGAAAGCGUGGGUAGCAAACAGG
rnacentral:rRNA from 1 species